AGGGAGACAGCACGGUGCACAGAGAGACCAGUACCAAGUGACAGUAACCAGGCUUGCGGCUUCCACGGGUGGAGCUGAGGAUCAGGAAGGCUUGGGAGAGAAGCGGAGUGCUGUGUGGCCACUGGGGUUGGGGAGGGGUCCUUGUGGCCGGUUCACUGCCUCGGGCUGCUGGGUGGAUGUUGUAAGAACGCUGUUCCUACAGAAACCAGUGACCCACCAUCUGGACUACACGGAUCUGGUGUUUGUACAUGUUUGCCACACAGCACGGCAGGCUUGCAGAUGGCAGGUGGGGAGCUGGCGCGGCGUGGCCCAGAGAGCUCCUAGUCUCUGCGCCCACCGAGCAGCGUCACGGAGCGGGCCUCGUAGCGUCACGUGGCACGGCCUCCCCGUGGCCUCCUCCGUCAGCCUGGUGGCGCUCGGAGCGCGGGCGAUACCGUAAAAUCUCACAGAACACCGGCAGCUGAGAGUGUGGGCACCGAUGGUGUGAAGCCGUGGGGGACGUGGGAGUAAGUAAGAGGACUGAUGUUCCAGUUGUAGAUUGGAGGACGUUUGACGAAGGCCAGCUAAAUUCAGACGUUAUCCUCUUAGCAGAGGGCUGUGCGGUGAGGGAUGAAGCGGACAGGUGAGGGGUGCUGUUUACUGGGUCACUGUUCUCCACGUGUGGCCCCCACAUGAGCAGCGUCCGCAUCCACUGGGAACUGUCGGAAAUAGAGAUUCUUGGUCUGGAUCAGAAACUGUCACAUUGAGGCUCAGCGGGCUCUGCAGCGCUGUUGCUGCAGAAUUUUGAAAACGCCUAUUUUAGAUAUUAAGAAGGUAAAACCAGCAGGACGCUGAGAACGUUUAAAUGGGAUGGACUGUGACAGGAUCUUGUGGGGACUUCCGGCCGUCUGGCUUGUCAGCCUCGGGAUCCCGUGGGGACUCCCAGUCCUCUGGCUUUCUGCAGGGUAGAUGAGAUCACUCUCCAUUAUGACAGAACAUGGGAGGUGUAAUAGAUUUGUAAACACAAUGAUUUCAGUUUUGGACAUGCUGAAUUUGGGGUGCUUCGAGA